AGAGUUUGAUCCUGGCUCAGAAUGAACGCUGGCGGCGUGUUUAAGACAUGCAAGUCGCACGGGGGAAUGUGAGUAGCAAUACAAGCAUUCUUCAGUGGCGCACGGGUGCGUAACACGUGAGUUACAUGCCCUGCAGAGGGGGAUAGCCCAGGGAAACUUGGAUUAAUACCCCAUGGUCUCGCAAGAGUAAAGGUGGCGCAAGCUGCCGCUGCAGGAUUGGCUCGCGGCCUAUCAGCUAGUUGGUGAGGCAACGGCUCACCAAGGCUACGACGGGUACCUGGUCUGAGAGGACGAUCAGGCACACUGGAACUGAGACACGGUCCAGACACCUACGGGUGGCAGCAGUCGAGAAUCAUUCACAAUGGGGGCAACCCUGAUGGUGCAACGCCGCGUGGAGGAUGAAGGUCUUCGGAUUGUAAACUCCUGUCAUCUAGGAGCAAGGCAUGGUGGUGAAUAGCCAACAUGAUUGAUAGUACUAGAAGAGGAAGGGACGGCUAACUUCGUGCCAGCAGCCGCGGUAAUACGAAGGUCCCGAGCGUUAUUCGGAAUCACUGGGCGUAAAGGGAGCGUAGGCGGCGUGGAAAGUCAGAUGUGAAAUCCCGGGGCUCAACCCCGGAACUGCAUCCGAUACUACCAUGCUAGAGUAUUGGAGGGGUAACUGGAAUUCUCGGUGUAGCAGUGAAAUGCGUGGAUAUCGAGAGGAACACCUGUGGCGAAAGCGAGUUACUGGACAAUUACUGACGCUGAGGCUCGAAGGCUAGGGGAGCAAAAGGGAUUAGAUACCCCUGUAGUCCUAGCAG
rnacentral:rRNA from 1 species